rnacentral:miRNA from 1 species
AACACCCGUCGCCCCCGCGAAGGCGGGGGCCGCUGGCGGCCUUUCCGAACGAUAGCGGCCCCCGCCUUCGCGGGGGCGACGGUGAUC